rnacentral:rRNA from 1 species
UUUUCUGCCACCGAAUACAUUAGCAUGGGAUAAUGGAAUAGGACCCUGUCCUCCUAUUUUCAGUUGGUUUUGGCAGCGCGAGGACUAGGGUAAUGAUUAAUAGGGAUAGUUGGGGGCAUUAAUAUUUAAUUGUCAGAGGUGAAAUUCUUGGAUUUAUGAAAGAUUAACUUCUGCGAAAGCAUCUGCCAAGGAUGUUUUCAUUAAUCAAGAACGAAAGUUAGGGGAUCGAAGACGAUCAGAUACCGUCGUAGUCUUAACCAUAAACGAUGCCGACCAGCGAUUAGGAGACGUUGAAUACAAAACACCACCAUCGGCGCGGUCGUCCUUGGCGUUCGUGUUCACGCACGAGCGCGAGGGCGGUUUAGCCCGAUGGCACCGGUGAAUGACUCCC